AUUGAACGCUGGCGGCAGGCCUAACACAUGCAAGUCGAACGAGUGGCAGACGGGUGUGUAAUGUGUGGGAAACUGCCUGAUGGAGGGGGAUAACUCCUGGAAACGGUAGCUAAUACCGCAUACCCUCGGAUGGGCCCAUAUGGGAUUAGCUGGUAUGUGGGGUAACGGCUCACCUAGGCGACGAUCCCUCGCUGAUCUGAGAGGAUGAACAGCCACACUGGAACUGAGACACGGUCCAGACUCCUACGGGAGGCAGCAGUGGGGAAUAUUGCACAAUGGGCGCAAGCCUGAUGCAGCCAUGCCGCGUGUAUGAAGAAGGCCUUCGGGUUGUAAAGUACUUUCAGCGGGGAGGCGUUACCCGCAGAAGAAGCACCGGCUAACUCCGUGCCAGCAGCCGCGGUAAUAC
rnacentral:rRNA from 1 species